rnacentral:lncRNA from 1 species
CUAUAACCUGUUUGGGUUCAUAUAUACCCUCCAAGUAAUCUUAACCUACGUGCAAGCACUUGUCCAGCUUUUUAUCAAUGAUGAUGAUGACAUCUUUUCCUAUUAAAUUGCAGAAUGCCCAUGCUGAAAAUAAUCUUCCAGUGCAACAAGGUGGUCCUGAACCAAGUUUAUGACUUCACCAAGUCCAUAAGAAGGUAAACAUAUGCUACAUAUCUAAAUGACAAUGAUUGUACAAGAGGUUGUCUAAUUUUGUAUGUAAGUGCAAGGUAAAUGACAUUAUGAAACACUAAUCCCAUUUUGACAAGCAUGUUUCAAAUACUGUCAUGACACCAAUAGCAGAUCAUAUGUCAGAUUCAACCAAGUACUAAAAAAUUGUAUUGCAUACAACAGUAACAUGAUUUUUCCCGAUGGAACCAAAAGUUAAGUCACACACAUAUCAUUGCUGCUCCAAGAGAUCUCGUAUUCAAAGAAACUAAUUAAUCACUUUUGAAUUGAUACAUGAGUACUAAUAAAACACCAACCUUGCAUACAUGUACUUUUUGGUGGAAACCUUGCAUAGAUGUUGAGGAACACCUGUCCCUUGAAUAUUAGGUGAACUCUCUUUUUAGUGUAUAAAUUAACAUGACGUGAACUUCAUUUGUUUGCAUGUUGCAUUCACGCUUAGUUUUCACAAUAAAUAUUUUCUUAAUAAGACCUUAAUCUAAUCUGAUAGCAAAGUGUGCAGACAGAAGGUACGUGUAGAAUAAAGCUCACUUACUGCAUGUAUCAGAACUCUUCAAAACUAUCAUUCUUUAUUAUAGUUGAUCAUGUGUCUCCCUUCACAUGUAUUCCUAUUUAAUUGUAGAAUGCUCAUGCUCAAAACAGCAAUGCACCAAGCUACAUGGUCAUCACCAAGUCACUAAGCAGGUACAUAUAGGCUCGAUGUCUAAAUGACAAUGAUUGUUUAAUAGAUAGUUGAUCUAAUUAUUUUUGAAAUUGUUCUUAUUUCUGUAAAAUGAAAUCUGCUCAGGUUCAUCAAUAACAAAAUUUUCAUUUCUUGAAAAAUAGGAUAAAGUUGAAGUCGUGUUGUAUUCGAUGAACUCGAGAAACAAAGACAAACUCGUGGCCAAUGGAACCUUAGUGAGUAAAGAGAAAACAUAUGUGGUUGGAGGAAACAUGCUUGGAGUGCAAUAUAUUGCAGUACUUAUUCGCGGCUGUAUAUAUCUAGGAGAUGAGAAACUAGUUAGACCAUAUGAAAAAUUGCAAACAGUAAGGGAUGCUAUGAGUUCUUUUAUUGCUUGGCCUCGCUCAUAUGUCAGUAUGCUUCCAUUCAAGCAUUGGGUAUGCUCCAAUAUGCACAUGUGUGAUGUGUUAUUUACCUGGAAUCUUUCUUUUUUUACGUAAAAAUAGUUAAGCCAACCCCUCCUGCACAACCACAAAGCAUUGGUAGGAUACAAUUCUUAUAAUUUUAUCAAAGAAUCUCUUAUCUUACACUUCUGUAUAAACAUAUGUUCAUGCAAAUGUUGUUCAUUCUCCUUUUCAGGGCAGUGAGGAUUUGAAAAGUGAGUGCAUAAAAAAAGCUAGGAGUGGCUGGGUACUUGAGGAUUUGAAAAGGGAGCGCACUGGAGGAGUCAGGAGUAGUUGAUGAAUAUUUCUUUGAAUGAACAAAAAUUCUAAAUUAUGUAUAGAUUGUAGCUUAAUAGAGAAAAAUAGUUCCAGUCUAUAGGAUCUUUUCUUAUUUAUUUUUCAUAUGAAUGUUUGAUGUUAUUCAGCUGUGAACUCCAAAUACUUUCAGUGGAGACAUUGUUCCUGCUAAUUAAUGCAUUGGAUGUUGUUACUGAGGUUGCCAAUGUUUGCAAAUGCAAUCUAUGACAUGGAAUGAUGCCUUCGUAUCACAAUAUUAUUUGACCAAUUUGCAUGCGCAGCCAUGACAUUAAAAAUGUUUGAAGUAAAAUAUUCCAUCUAUAAAGAUAUUCUUAUGUAUAUUUAGAGAUUAGUAUAAGAGGUGAAUGAAAUGGUAUAUUCAUAGACGAGUAUAAGAGGCGAACGAAACGUGUCUAUGAGUAGAGACGUAAUAUGAGCAUGCCUAACAUAACGUCUCUACAUGUAGACACGAUUUUUGAGCAUGCCUAACACAACAUCUCUAUAUGUAGACACGAUUUUGAACGUCCCUAAAAAGCGUCUCUUGCCAUGUAAGACACGCUUGCCAAGCGUGUCUAUCUAUUUAAGACGGUUCGUGGGGAGACGCUCCAAGGACGCUUUACUAAAACGGCUCUAUAGUUGGCUAGAGAUGAAAUAACACGUCGCUAGGUAUGAAAUUGGGCGUGUCUAUCGG